GUAUGAUGAAUCACAAUGUCAUUUUACCUGUUUUAGAUCGCAUUACUGCAAAUCUGCUUCCUUCGCGUUGGCUGAGUUGGGCAGAGUUACGUGAUGAAAAAUUAUCUUGUCAUAUAACAGAAAGCAGAGAAGACACUGAGAGAUGCCGCAGACACAAUGGCCAGGACAGCUCCUUGUGUUUGCCAAACUUGUUCCUUAUUCAGCUGUAACAACACAAAUCUCCUGCUCACCCAAUGUUGUCAUGAAAAUACCUCAAGUUCAUCAGAUACUGACCAAGGGUGUAAUGAUUACUUACAUAUCAUCUCUAUGGGCACCAAAACUAAGUGGAAAGAAGGACUAAACUGUUGGAAAUAAACCCCUCACUUGGCAGAAAUUGUUCAUGUGUUCCUGUAAACAACCUGAAGCUACCCACAGGAUG
rnacentral:lncRNA from 1 species